GAAAGAGGUUGUAGCUGGCCUUUCGGGGCAUUGUGCACGCCUUGCUCAAUUCCAACUCUUAACACCUGUGCACUCAUUGUAGGUUGACUUUCGAGAGAGUAUUCUUUACGGGAUAUUCUUAAGUGGUCUUCCUAUGUUUAUAACAAACUCUUAUUGUAUUUGAAUGUAACUUUGCGCUAUUAAUAACGCAUGAAAUAUAACUUUCAGCAACGGAUCUCUUGGCUCUCGCAUCGAUGAAGAACGCAGCGAAAUGCGAUAAGUAAUGUGAAUUGCAGAAUUCAGUGAAUCAUCGAAUCUUUGAACGCAUCUUGCGCCCUUUGGUAUUCCGAAGGGCAUGCCCGUUUGAGUGUCAUUGUAUUCUCAAACCCCUUCAUUUUUGUGAAGUGGGGUAUUGGAUUUGGAGGUCUUUGCGGGUUUCAUUGUAAAUCUGCUCCUCUUGAAUACAUUAGCUGGGAACCUUUUGUUAGGCUGGCUUCAGUGUGAUAAUUGUCUGCGCUGUAGUAGUCUAGCACUCGUAUAAAGG
rnacentral:rRNA from 1 species